rnacentral:rRNA from 1 species
CCUACGGGAGGCAGCAGUGGGGAAUUUUGGACAAUGGGCGAAAGCCUGAUCCAGCCAUGCCGCGUGCAGGAUGAAGGCCUUCGGGUUGUAAACUGCUUUUGUACGGAACGAAACGGCCUUUUCUAAUAAAGAGGGCUAAUGACGGUACCGUAAGAAUAAGCACCGGCUAACUACGUGCCAGCAGCCGCGGUAAUACGUAGGGUGCAAGCGUUAAUCGGAAUUACUGGGCGUAAAGCGUGCGCAGGCGGUUAUGUAAGACAGUUGUGAAAUCCCCGGGCUCAACCUGGGAACUGCAUCUGUGACUGCAUAGCUAGAGUACGGUAGAGGGGGAUGGAAUUCCGCGUGUAGCAGUGAAAUGCGUAGAUAUGCGGAGGAACACCGAUGGCGAAGGCAAUCCCCUGGACCUGUACUGACGCUCAUGCACGAAAGCGUGGGGAGCAAACAGGAUUAGAUACCCUGGUAGUCCACGCCCUAAACGAUGUCAACUGGUUGUUGGGUCUUCACUGACUCAGUAACGAAGCUAACGCGUGAAGUUGACCGCCUGGGGAGUCGGCCGCAAGGUUGAAACUUNAAAGGAUUGACGGCGNGAGAGNGCGACGACGACGACGAGGGAGGAGG